UCCCGCCCCCAGCCCCUCGCUCAGGCUUCGGGAGCUGUCGGCUGCGCGCAGCGCGGGCUCUCCGGCCACUUCCCCUCCCCCCAUCCCGGCCGUGGCCUCGCGCAGUCCUCGGGCGUCGCUUCUGCAGGUAGGUCCCCAGGUGAGGACGGGAAACUGGCCGCGGGCCCCGCGAGAAAUGGAGUCCAGGAGGGGGCGGGCGUCAUGAGGCCGCCAGGGCAGGUCUGGCCUCUACCGCCACCCUCACUCCCACCUCCAUUCCGGUACCCGCAGCUGGCCUCCGGCUGUGGGCCGGAUAAAGUGGGGGGUUACCCUGGGGACGUACUGUUGGAGAAAUACGGUACGGUGUUUCUGCCUAGCGAUCACGGUUACCUUCGGGAAAGUGCAUGCUCGCUGCGCUGCCUCGGAGCCUCCCAGCCUCCAGGACGGCCUAGGGCGUCUGACUCCUGACUCGAAUCAGUGACACCCCCAGGUCUGGGCCACCUUCCUGAGGACCGACCUGUGCUUCACUCUCAGGCUGCUGUGGUCCGCAGCAGUCCCGGGACGCUUUGGCACUCCGCGCGGAGGUGGGAAGAGCAAGGCCCAGAGGAACUUAACCAAGAGGUGGCAGUGAGCCGACGGUGCCACGCACCCUGCUAACGCCCUUUAACUCACACUCCUGUUGGAUCCUCAGCCUACAGAUGAAGACAUGGACUGUGAGGGGCCACGGGUCCUCCCCGGGUGACUCGGCUGAAAAGAAAGUUGAGGCCAGAGAGGUGGACAAUUCACCCAAGGUCACACAGCAAAUGCACUGGCAAAGACAAAAAGAGAACUGAGACCUAUCUCGCUCCAGAGACUUCUCUUCUCCCAUCCCAGGCUGUGGAGCUUGGCCUCAGGACAGCGUCCCCACUGUCGCUUCACCCUGCCGCUCCUCCCAGGCCACCUGUACCCUUCCCUGCCACUCAGAGAGGAUCUCCCUGUCAGGAGUCAGGAUGGAGCCAGAACGGCUGGAUGCAGCAGAGGCGGACCCGCACCUCAGACCUCACAACAGCCUGUAGUCCUGGGACCAGCAGUCCUCACAAGACCACCAGCACUCUCGGUGCUGCAUCUACCCCACCUCCGUGUACCCAGGAAGGGGGAAGCAUCAUCAUCCAAGCUGGCUGCUGGCCUAGCAAGUCAGUGGAGAAGGGAAGCUUCCUCUGGGAGGCGCUCGGCAACCCUGCAUGGGAUACAACUUAAUGGCCCACUGGUUGGAAACAGCAGGAGUCCCCUGGGCAAAAGUCAAGUGGGCAAGGGGAAGGCAGGAAGUAUGCCCAGCGCUGUGCUAAUCUAUUUUAAUUUUUUUUAAUGUUUAUUUAUUUUUGAGAGAGAGAGAGAGCAACAGAGCAUGAGUGGGAGGGGGAGAGAGGAAAGGACACAGAAUCUGAAGCAGGCUCCAGGCUCUGAGCUGUCAGCCCUGAGCCCGAUGCGGGGCUCGAACCCACAAACCGUGAGAUCAUGACCUGAGCUGAAGUCGGAAGCUUAACCGACUGAGCCACCCAGGGGCCCCUGUGCUAAUCUCUUUAAACAGGUGACUUUAUUUAACCCCCAUAGCCCCCCUCCUACUUGGUCCAUGCUACAGAUGGGAAAACAGAGGCAUGGAGAAGUCACUUACUAGAAAUCACGCAGCCCAGCCGGCAGGAGGUGGUGCCCAGGUUCCGGAAAAUAACAAGGUCAUGGGAAUUUGGGAGGUGUCUGUUGCUUCCUGGAGAAGGCUUUGAAACCCUGGGAAGGGGCAGUAGGAGAAGGGUCUGGAGAGAGGGUCCCCUAGCAAGGUGUCAGGUGGGAGCCUGGAGGGGGUGGGUCAGGGCAUCGGACCUCACACAAUUCCCAGGGCAGGAGACAGAUGAAGCCCAGCUCCAGCAGUGACACCUGGCAUUCACCUCUUCAGCAUCUUCUGUCACUCAGUCCUUACUGUCCUUACCCCCACACCUUUGGACCAUCCCACUGCACCUAGGCCUAGGGGAUCUUGCAUGGCUCUGGAGGUCCAAGUAGUGACCAGCAGCCAAGUGGGCACAGGCCUGGGGUUGAGCCAAGCUUCCAGCCCACUGUUGGGAGGGGGGAGGCCCAGGACAAAGAUGUGACACUGGCUCCGAGACUAGCAGCGUUGUAAAUAAGAGAGGAAUCCAUUUUGCACCCACCUACCAGGCCAGACUUCUGCCUGCCAGGCUCCUUCCCCGCAGGGCCUUGCCCUCUCCCACAUGACGACUCACAGCUACACAUGGGCUCUAGCCCGUGGGAAGGGGAAAGGAAAAGGGGAGGGAUGCCUCUGCCCUUUAAGGCCACCACGCAGAAGGAGCCACUGUCACUGGGAGAAAACAAGGUUGGGGUGUGAGCUGUGUGGCCGGGUUUGUGUCUGUCUGCCAGUGGGGCUGGGAAGCCAGACACCUGCAGUCCUGUCCUGUCUCCAGCUGCAGAGAUCAGAGCAAGUCACUAUAUAUACUCUGUGGGACUGUUUUCCCCUCUGCACCAAACGUUUGGCCAAAAUAGCCUCUGAGGGGUCCUCAGUGGAAGACUCUGAACCAAUAGUCUCUCGAGGCCAUUGAGGCACAGUCUUGGGGAAGGAAAGGUGAAAUCAGUCUGUGGGUGGCUCCCUCGACUGUACUGGGAGGCCGGGGGCAAGCAAUGCACCCCAGGCCAUUGACACAGCCCCCGAGCUCCCAAGCUUUCUUGGAAAAGCUUCUAUGAACUGCUGCUAAUACGUCAGGUAACUUGUUUAUUAAGUGCUUGUUAUACACCAGGCUUGGAGCUAAGGGCUAGCAUUUAUGAGUGUUUUCUAUAUGCUGGGCAUUAUUUUAAGUGCUUUACAACUUCCACUUCGCUUAAGCCACACAACUUCUCUGUGAUGCAGGCGCUGUUGUUAUCACCACGGGAAUAGCAAACCUGUAAAACAAGAACCAACCACUAUGAAAAAGGAGCAUUCAGAGAACAGGAAAGAACAUUCGAAAACGUAAGCGUUCACAGUAAUUAUGAAAACCCAACCAAGACUGAAUAGCAGAAUGGACACACCUGAGAACCAAAUCAGAGCAACAGACAGAAAUUAUGAGAGAAAAAUGCCAGAACCACGGUUCAAUGGAAGGAAUUGAAUUCACAUGCAGAAACGAAGAUGGAUCAAAAUCACCUUCCCAGUGAAAUCCGGCCCCUCCUCGCUCUGGCAGAGAGAUGUUGAUGGAUAACAGGGAGUUGGUGCCUAUCCUGGUAGUCCGGGAAGUCGCUAGCUAUCUUGGGCCCCAAGCAAACCACAGGGAACCAGUGGGGCUGGGAAGUGACCACUGAUUGGCACCCACAGGGCAGGCUUCACAGGUAAGCAGGGGGGUCUGUGUCAGAAUCUUGGACUUACACGAAGAUACCGAGAGCACUGGGCGAGCACCACGCCAGCCUGACAAUAGCCACCUGUCAGAUUCAGGGAGGAAUUCCUUGUCAUUUCAAAACACAACAAGGAAAACAGUGACCCAAGUGGGAAAAAGACGUAAACAGAAUGCGCAAAUGGCCAGUGCGUGCACAGGGAAAUUUCUAACGUCACCACUGAUCAAAAGAACACAAAUGAAAACGUGCCGUCUUCAUCCAACUGACAAGGAUAUUUUAAGUUAUAACACUGUUGGGAAGAGGUACAUUUCCAGAAAGCAACCUUGCAAUAUAGACAUCACUUUUCAGUCUGUAAGUCUGCUUUUAGGAACUGAUCACAAAGAAGUGAUCGGAUUUGUCAGCAGAUUUCUAUACAAGCUUGUUCUUCCCAAUGUUGCUUCCAGCUGAGAAAAAUUAGAAACCACUGAAUGAAUGUCCAGCCAAAGGAAAGUGAUAAUGAACAA